rnacentral:misc_RNA from 1 species
GGAAGUAAAAGUCGUAACAAUGUCUCCGUUGGUGAACCAGCGGAGGGAUCAUUACCGAGUUUACAACUCCCAAACCCAAUGUGAACUAUACCUGUCUACCGUUGCUUCGGCGGGUUCGCCCGCCGAGGGACCGACAAAUAAACUCUUGUAUUUCUAUCUUUAGCAUGUCUGAGUGGAAUCAUAAACAAGUGAAUCAAAACUUUCAACAACGGAUCUCUUGGUUCUG